GACGAACGCUGGCGGCGUGCCUAAUACAUGCAAGUCGAACGCUUCUUUCCUCCCGAGUGCUUGCACUCAUUUGGAAAGAGGAGUGGCGGACGGGUGAGUAACACGUGGGUAACCUACCCAUCAGAGGGGGAUAACACUUGGAAACAGGUGCUAAUACCGCAUAACAGUUUAUGCCGCAUGGCAUAAGAGUGAAAGGCGCUUUCGGGUGUCGCUGAUGGAUGGACCCGCGGUGCAUUAGCUAGUUGGUGAGGUAACGGCUCACCAAGGCCACGAUGCAUAGCCGACCUGAGAGGGUGAUCGGCCACACUGGGACUGAGACACGGCCCAGACUCCUACGGGAGGCAGCAGUAGGGAAUCUUCGGCAAUGGACGAAAGUCUGACCGAGCAACGCCGCGUGAGUGAAGAAGGUUUUCGGAUCGUAAAACUCUGUUGUUAGAGAAGAACAAGGACGUUAGUAACUGAACGUCCCCUGACGGUAUCUAACCAGAAAGGCACGGCUAACUACGUG
rnacentral:rRNA from 1 species